rnacentral:tRNA from 2 species
GGUUCUGUGGUGUAGUGGUUAGCACAUCUGCCUUACACGCAGAAGAUCCUGGGUUCGAUUCCCAGUGGAACCA